CUUGAAGCCAGAUGUUGAUAGCUGGGAAGGCUAUCGAUACAAGCAAAAGGGGAUAGAAGACGAGCCAUGGUAAAGUAGAAGAAUUAACAAUGAAAAUGAAGUACAGUGAUUAAAGAUGUAGAGACUGUGAUAUCCUAGAAAGCAAGCAAAGAAAAUAUGAUGGUGAGGGAAUUUUCAGGUGGAACAAGGAAUCGGCUUUCCCCAGAGGCCACCUGCCGCUCAGAUGUCUUGUGACCAUGUGGGAAACUAACCAUGGGAUCAAAUAUGUCUUGUCUGUCACAAGGUGGUACAGUGAAGAUAUGGAAGGUACCUCGAUUGUUAGUGACACUGUUGAGCUAGUUAUGUAACCAACCCUGGAUUCUCUGCCCUCUUUCCUGAAGAUUUUGUUAGGUGGGAUAAUAACUUAAUCUACUGUUUAAGCUUGAUAGAGUCAGAAAUUAUGAUAAUUAUGUAGAAAAUCUUCCUGAUACUGAGACUAAAUUUAACUAUUAGAUUUUUCUCUCAUAAAUUGCAUGACUGUAUGAAAAUAAUGAAUUCUAUUUGAGGCUUGGUUUACUCAACUGUAAAAU
rnacentral:lncRNA from 1 species